AGUGAACGCUGGCGGCAGGCCUAAUACAUGCAAGUCGAACGGCAGCACAGCAGAGCUUGCUCUGUGGGUGGCGAGUGGCGGACGGGUGAGGAAUACAUGGGAAUCUGCCCAGUCGUGGGGGAUAACGUAUGGAAACGUACGCUAAUACCGCAUGCGCCCUACGGGGGAAAGCCGGGACCGCAAGGCCUGGCGCGAUUGGAUGAGCCCAUGUUCGAUUAGCUAGUUGGCGGGGUAAUGGCUCACCAAGGCGAUGAUCGGUAGCUGGUCUGAGAGGACGAUCAGCCACACGGGAACUGAGAAACGGUCCCGACUCCUACGGGGGGCAGCAGUGAGGAAUAUUGGGCAAUGGACGAAAGUCUGACCCAGCAACGCCGCGUGGAGGAUGAAGGUUUUUGGAUUGUAAACUCCUUUUGUGGGGGAAGAGUGAGGACGGUACCCCAAGAAUAAGUCACGGCUAACUACGUG
rnacentral:rRNA from 1 species